rnacentral:rRNA from 1 species
CAGUCGCCGCGGGAAUACGAAGGGUGCAAGCGUUACUCGGAAUUACUGGGCGUAAAGCGUGCGUAGGUGGUGGUUUAAGUCCGUUGUGAAAGCCCUGGGCUCAACCUGGGCAUUGCAGUGGAUACUGGGUCACUAGAGUGUGGUAGAGGAUAGUGGAAUUUCCGGUGUAGCAGUGAAAUGCGUAGAGAUCGGAAGGAACAUCUGUGGCGAAGGCGACUAUCUGGGCCAACACUGACACUGAGGCACGAAAGCGUGGGGAGCAAACAGGAUUAGAUACCCGCGUAGUCCCUGUCUCUUAUAC